ACCAGAUGAGGAUAAGGGGCGGACUACUGUAUAUACACUGGAUGAGAACAAGGGGGGACUACUGUAUACACACGGGAUGAGGAUAAGGGGGGAAUACUGUAGACACACCGGAUAAGGGGGGACUACUGUAUACACACCGGAUGAGGAUAAGGGGGGACUACUGUAUACACACCGGAUGAGGAUAAGGGGGGACUACUGUAUACACACCAGAUGAGGAUAAGGGGGGACUACUGUAUACACACACGGGAUGAGGAUAAGGGGGGACUACUGUAUACACAUUGGAUGAGGAUAAGGGGGGACUAUUGUAUACACACCAGAUGAGGAUAAGGGGGGACUACUGUAUACACACCAGAUGAGGAUAAGGGGGGACUACUGUAUACACACCGGAUGAGGAUAAGGGGAGACUACUGUAUACACACGGGAUGAGGAUGAGGGACUAUUGUAUACACACCAGAUGAGGAUAAGGGGGACUACUGUAUACACACCGGCUGAGGAUAAGGGGGGACUACUGUAGACACACCGCAAGAGGAUAAGGGGGGACUACUGUAUACACACCGGAUGAGGAUAAGGGGGGACUACUGUAUACACACCGGAUGAGGAUAAGGGGGGACUACUGUAUACACAUCGGGUAAGGGGGAACUACUGUAUACACACAGGACUGACUUUUUACAUUUAAAAAUCAGUGUGUUAGAAUUUAUACAAGAGAACUACUUUCUGCUAGAGGCUGCCCAGCUCCGCCCCUGGCUCUGCAUGGGGUCGGGGCCUGGGCAGGGGAGAGUGAGAUGCCUGCACCUAUUCAUCUCAUUGGUGUGGACACUGCUCAGAGUACCCUGGAUCCUUUUCAAAACCGCCCCCAAAGCCAGCACAGCCCAAGUCGCCAAGGCUGUGGACGGAGCUUUAUGGUCCCUCCCUUUUCAGAACUGGGAGAAACCGCCCACU
rnacentral:lncRNA from 1 species